rnacentral:tRNA from 1 species
GCAGUGGUGGUUCAGUGGUAGAAUUCUCACCUUCCGUGCAGGAGCCGGGGUUUGAAUCCCAGCCAGUGCA